rnacentral:rRNA from 1 species
GACGAACGCUGGCGGCGUGCCUAAUACAUGCAAGUUGAGCGAUGAAGAUUGGUGCUUGCACCAAUUUGAAGAGCAGCGAACGGGUGAGUAACGCGUGGGGAAUCUGCCUUUGAGCGGGGGACAACAUUUGGAAACGAAUGCUAAUACCGCAUAACAACUUUAAACAUAAGUUUUAAGUUUGAAAGAUGCAAUUGCAUCACUCAAAGAUGAUCCCGCGUUGUAUUAGCUAGUUGGUGAGGUAAAGGCUCACCAAGGCGAUGAUACAUAGCCGACCUGAGAGGGUGAUCGGCCACAUUGGGACUGAGACACGGCCCAAACUCCUACGGGAGGCAGCAGUAGGGAAUCUUCGGCAAUGGACGAAAGUCUGACCGAGCAACGCCGCGUGAGUGAAGAAGGUUUUCGGAUCGCAAAACUCUGUUGGUAGAGAAGAACGUUGGUGAGAGUGGAAAGCUCAUCAAGUGACGGUAACUACCCAGAAAGGGACGGCUAACUACGUG